rnacentral:ncRNA from 2 species
AUCGCAGGGCAACUCCGAGACGCAGGAUCUUCGUUUCCACGGAAACAUGGUGCUGCGUCCGUGGUUCAUGGAACCACCGGGCGAGCGGGGAAACGCGCUCGCCUCCCGAACAUUGGAAAGGAGCACAUGGCAUGACCCC